GACGAACGCUGGCGGCGUGCUUAACACAUGCAAGUCGAACGGAAAGGCCCUGCUUUUGUGGGGUGCUCGAGUGGCGAACGGGUGAGUAACACGUGAGUAACCUGCCCUUGACUUUGGGAUAACUUCAGGAAACUGGGGCUAAUACCGGAUAGGAGCUCCUGCUGCAUGGUGGGGGUUGGAAAGUUUCGGCGGUUGGGGAUGGACUCGCGGCUUAUCAGCUUGUUGGUGGGGUAGUGGCUUACCAAGGCUUUGACGGGUAGCCGGCCUGAGAGGAUGAUCAGCCACAUCGGGACUGAGAUACGGCCCAGACUCCUACGGGAGGCAGCAGUGGGGAAUAUUGCACAAUGGGCGGAAGCCUGAUGCAGCAACGCCGCGUGCGGGAUGACGGCCUUCGGGUUGUAAACCGCUUUCGCCUGUGACGAAGCGUGAGUGACGGUAAUGGGUAAAGAAGCACCGGCUAACUACGUGCCAGCAGCCGCGGUGAUACGUAGGGUGCGAGCGUUGUCCGGAUUUAUUGGGCGUAAAGGGCUCGUAGGUGGUUGAUCGCGUCGGAAGUGUAAUCUUGGGGCUUAACCCUGAGCGUGCUUUCGAUACGGGUUGACUUGAGGAAGGUAGGGGAGAAUGGAAUUCCUGGUGGAGCGGUGGAAUGCGCAGAUAUCAGGAGGAACACCAGUGGCGAAGGCGGUUCUCUGGGCCUUUCCUGACGCUGAGGAGCGAAAGCGUGGGGAGCGAACA
rnacentral:rRNA from 1 species